rnacentral:rRNA from 1 species
ACCCGCUGAACUUAAGCAUAUCAAUAAGCGGAGGAAAAGAAACCAACAGGGAUUGCCCUAGUAACGGCGAGUGAAGCGGCAACAGCUCAAAUUUGAAAUCUGGCGCAAGCCCGAGUUGUAAUUUGUARAGGAUGCUUCUGGGCAGCGGCCGGUCUAAGUUCCUUGGAACAGGACGUCACAGAGGGUGAGAAUCCCGUAUGUGAUCGGUUGGCACCCGCUACGUAGCUCCUUCGACGAGUCGAGUUGUUUGGGAAUGCAGCUCUAAAUGGGAGGUAAAUGCCUUCUAAAGCUAAAUACCGGCCAGAGACCGAUAGCGCACAAGUAGAGUGAUCGAAAGAUGAAAAGCACUUUGGAAAGAGAGUUAAAAAGCACGUGAAAUUGUUGAAAGGGAAGCGCAUGCAACCAGACUUGUCCGCGGUGUUCCGCCGGUCUUCUGACCGGUCUACUCGCCGCGGGCAGGCCAGCAUCAUCUGGGAGCGCCGGAUAAAGGUAGCGGGAAUGUGGCCCCUCGGGGUGUUAUAGCUCGCUACACAAUACGGCGCCUCCCGGGUGAGGUCCGCGCUUCGGCUAGGAUGCUGGCGUAAUGGUUGUAUGCGGCCCGUCUUGAAACACGGACCAAGGAGUCUACCAUCUAUGCGAGUGUUCGGGUGUCAAACCCCUACGCGCAAUGAAAGUGAACGGAGGUGGGAACCGCAAGGUGCACCAUCGACCGAUCCUGAUGUCUUCGGAUGGAUUUGAGUAAGAGCAUAGCUGGUGGGACCCGAAAGAUGGUGAACUAUGCCUGAAUAGGGUGAAGCCAGAGGAAACUCUGGUGGAGGCUCGCAGCGGUUCUGACGUGCAAAUCGAUCGUCAAAUUUGGGUAUAGGGGCGAAAGACUAAUCGAACCAUCUAGUAGCUGGUUCCUGCCGAAGUUUCCC